UGCACUGGAGAGUGAGGCCUUUGCCUGUUC
rnacentral:piRNA from 1 species